GACGAACGCUGGCGGCGUGCUUAACACAUGCAAGUCGAACGAGGACCAGGGUGCUUGCACCCUGUAGCCGAGUGGCGAACGGGUGAGUAACACGUGACCAACCUAGCCUGGAGUGGGGGACAACCUGGGGAAACCCGGGCUAAUACCGCAUACGGCCCCAUGGUCGCAUGGCCGUGGGAUGAAAGGAGGCCUCUGCUUGCAAGCUUUCGCUCGAGGGGGGGUCGCGGCGUAUCAGCUAGUUGGUGGGGUAACGGCCCACCAAGGCGACGACGCGUAGCGGGUCUGAGAGGACGACCCGUCACAUUGGGACUGAGAUACGGCCCAGACUCCUACGGGAGGCAGCAGUGGGGAAUAUUGCGCAAUGGCCGAAAGGCUGACGCAGCGACGCCGCGUGUGGGAGGACGCCCUUCGGGGUGUAAACCACUGUCAGAAGGGAAGAACUUCGGGCUUUUGAAUACAGAGCUCGGUUGACGGUACCUUCAGAGGAAGCGCCGGCUAACUCCGUG
rnacentral:rRNA from 1 species